rnacentral:rRNA from 1 species
UGGGGAAUUUUGGACAAUGGGCGAAAGCCUGAUCCAGCAAUGCCGCGUGUGUGAAGAAGGCCUUCGGGUUGUAAAGCACUUUUGUCCGGAAAGAAAUCCUUGGCUCUAAUACAGUCGGGGGAUGACGGUACCGGAAGAAUAAGCACCGGCUAACUACGUGCCAGCAGCCGCGGUAAUACGUAGGGUGCAAGCGUUAAUCGGAAUUACUGGGCGUAAAGCGUGCGCAGGCGGUUUGCUAAGACCGAUGUGAAAAUCCCCGGGCUAACCUGGGAACUGCAUUGGCGACUGGCAGGCUAGAGUAUGGCANAGGGGGGUAGAAUUCCACGUGUAGCAGUGAAAUGCGUAGAGAUGUGGAGGAAUACCGAUGGCGAAGGCAGCCCCCUGGGCCAAUACUGACGCUCAUGCACGAAAGCGUGGGGAGCAAACAGGAUUAGAUACCCUGGUAGUCCACGCCCUAAACGAUGUCAACUAGUUGUUGGGGAUUCAUUUCCUUAGUAACGUAGCUAACGCGUGAAGUUGACCGCCUGGGGAGUACGGUCGCAAGAUUAAAACUUAAAUGAAUUGACGGGGUCAUAGCUGUUUCCU